rnacentral:tRNA from 1 species
AAUUAAUGAACUUGUUAAAGUAUAUGUUUUGAAAACAUAAAAAAGAAGUUUAUCCUUCUAUUAAUUU